rnacentral:rRNA from 1 species
UCCAGACUCCUACGGGAGGCAGCAGUGGGGGAUAUUGCACAAUGGGGGGAACCCUGAUGCAGCGACGCCGCGUGGGUGAAGGAGCGUUUCGGCGCGUAAAGCCCUAUCGGCAGGGAAGAGGGAGGACGGUACCUGACUAAGAAGCCCCGGCUAACUACGUGCCAGCAGCCGCGGUAAUACGUAGGGGGCAAGCGUUAUCCGGAUUUACUGGGUGUAAAGGGGGCGCAGACGGCAGCGCAAGCCAGGAGUGAAAGCCCGGGGCCCAACCCCGGGACUGCUCUUGGAACUGCGCGGCUGGAGUGCAGGAGGGGCAGGCGGAAUUCCUGGUGUAGCGGUGAAAUGCGUAGAUAUCAGGAGGAACACCGGUGGCGAAGGCGGCCUGCUGGACUGCGACUGACGUUGAGGCCCGAAAGCGUGGGGAGCAAACAGGAUUAGAUACCCCCGUAGG